rfam:Babjeviella inositovora NRRL Y-12698 unplaced genomic scaffold BABINscaffold_3, whole genome shotgun sequence.
GUCUCGCUAGCUCAAUCGGUAGAGCGUGCUUCAUUCAAAAGCUGAUGGGGUGAGAAUUCAGGUUCGAAUCCUGAGCUGGGCA